rnacentral:rRNA from 1 species
GAUGAACGCUGGCGGCGUGCCUAAUACAUGCAAGUCGAGCGAACAGAUGAGGAGCUUGCUCCUCUGACGUUAGCGGCGGACGGGUGAGUAACACGUGGAUAACCUACCUAUAAGACUGGGAUAACUUCGGGAAACCGGAGCUAAUACCGGAUAAUAUAUUGAACCGCAUGGUUCAAUAGUGAAAGACGGUUUUGCUGUCACUUAUAGAUGGAUCCGCGCCGCAUGAGCUAGUUGGUAAGGUAACGGCUUACCAAGGCAACGAUGCGUAGCCGGCCUGAGAGGGUGAUCGGCCACACGGGAACUGAGGCACGGUCCAGACGCCUACGGGAGGCAGCAGUAGGGAAUCUUCCGCAAUGGGCGAAAGCCUGACGGAGCAACGCCGCGUGAGUGAUGAAGGUCUUCUGAUCGUAAAACUCUGUUAUUAGGGAAGAACAAAUGUGUAAGUAACUAUGCACGUCUUGACGGUACCUAAUCAGAAAGCCACGGCUAACUACGUG